rnacentral:rRNA from 1 species
GGCUUAGAGUUUGAUCCUGGCUCAGAUUGAACGCUGGCGGCAUGCCUUACACAUGCAAGUCGAACGGCAGCACGGACUUCGGUCUGGUGGCGAGUGGCGAACGGGUGAGUAAAGCAUCGGAACGUGCCCGAUCGUGGGGGAUAACGCAGCGAAAGCUGCGCUAAUACCGCAUAAGAUCUACGGAUGAAAGCGGGGGACUCGCAAGAGCCUCGCGCGAACGGAGCGGCCGAUGUCAGAUUAGGUAGUUGGUGGGGUAAAGGCCCACCAAGCCGACGAUCUGUAGCUGGUCUGAGAGGACGACCAGCCACACUGGGACUGAGACACGGCCCAGACUCCUACGGGAGGCAGCAGUGGGGAAUUUUGGACAAUGGGCGCAAGCCUGAUCCAGCCAUGCCGCGUGCAGGAAGAAGGCCUUCGGGUUGUAAACUGCUUUUGUACGGAACGAAAAAGCCCUGGUUAAU